rnacentral:lncRNA from 7 species
AUCAUUCUUCAGGGACAGCUCUCCACAUUCUAGCAAUUCAGCCCUAGCACUCCAGCACAUCUACAAUUAAUACGGAAGAAAGCUGAGUCUGAUGUAAGUAGAAGAGCAAAUAAGUGAGCCUGCAUCUAGUCAGUAAACUCCCAAUGGAACAGAUCUCUUCAGUCUAUGGAAGCUGACAUUUGACUCCACUAAAUGUUUGAUGGGAUUGGCCUGGGUUGGACUGAGGGAGCCUCCUGGAUACUACUGGUGCUAUUUUCGAUUGUACUUCAACCUCUUUUCUGCUUCACAGUGGACAUCUGCAUGGCAGUGACUGCAGCUGUUUCACCAACAUAGAUAUCUCAGAAUUGUGGGGUUUUGGGUUGCUCUUCCAGAUGAACAGAAAGGUGCAAAUUUAUUUUCAGGCCUUGCAAAAAUACUGAUGGUCACUAUCAUUUUGCAGAAAUAUCAAAGCCAGUCUGGUAGCCAUACUGUUGUUUGAGUGCUGGGCAGCAAAACUUAUGAUCAUUUAAAAAACUCUAUGUCAAGCAUAUUCAUUUGCUGGUCAGUAACAGUACAUUUUGUUUUGAUAUCUGAAGUCAUUAUGACCUGAAGCUGAGCACAGUAAGUGCUAAAGCCCAGUGAUGAUCUUUGCUUCUGGCUACUGUUUGGAAAGUUUCAUAAGUCCUUGUUUUCAGUAAGAAAAUUCAGGACAGUCAAUGUUCUGGGUAUGUUUGAUUCUAACAAGGCCCUUUAGUUUGGAGAAGUAUCCUCUAUCCUGGUUGUCUUUCAUAUUACAUGUUUUAUUAUAGAAAUAAUCUAUUCUAUGAGGUAAACAGAUUCAAGUAUACGGGAAACUGCAAUUGACAUAAAGAUAUUAGUCGUGUGUUCCCAACUACUACCUAGUUAUGAAAUGUGGACUUAUAAAUAAAGGUAAUCAUACAGACGUAUGAGUCUGUUGCU